rnacentral:rRNA from 1 species
CACGGGUGAGUAACACGUAUCCAACCUGCCGUCUACUCUUGGACAGCCUUCUGAAAGGAAGAUUAAUACAAGAUGGCAUCAUGAGUCCGCAUGUUCACAUGAUUAAAGGUAUUCCGGUAGACGAUGGGGAUGCGUUCCAUCAGAUAGUAGGCGGGGUAACGGGCCCACCUAGUCUUCGAUGGAUAGGGGUUCUGAGAGGAAGGUCCCCCACAUUGGAACUGAGACACGGUCCAAACUCCUACGGGAGGCAGCAUG